rnacentral:rRNA from 1 species
AACGCUGGCGGCGCGCUUAACACAUGCAAGUCGAGCGAGAACCAGGGCUUCGGCCCUGGGGACAGCGGCGAACGGGUGAGUAACACGUGGGUAAUCUGCCCUCGGUUCUGGGAUAGCCCGGGGAAACCCGGAUUAAUACCGGAUAGCCUCUCGAGCCCUCGGGCUCGUGAGAAAAGGUAGCUUCGGCCUCCGACCGAGGAGGAGCCUGCGGCGGAUUAGCUUGUUGGCGGGGUAACGGCCCACCAAGGCGACGAUCCGUAACUGGGCUGGGAGGACGAUCGGCCACACUGGGACUGAGACACGGCCCAGACUCCGACGGGAGGCAGCAGUGGGGAAUCUUGCGCAAUGGGCGAAAGCCUGACGCAGCGACGCCGCGUGAGGGAAGAAGGCCUUCGGGUUGUAAACCUCUUUCAGGAGGGACGAAGCCACUCGGGUUAAUAGCCCAGAGGGUGACGGUACCUCCAGAAGAAGCCCGGGCUAACUACGUGCCAGCCGCCGCAGUAACAC